rnacentral:rRNA from 1 species
CCAGCAGCUGCGGUAAUUCCAGCUCCAAUAGCGUAUAUUAAAGUUGUUGCAGUUAAAAAGCUCAUAUUCAGAGAGGGCGGAGGUGUGUGGUGGGGUGCCGUGAGGUGCUUUGUUGCGUGCUUGUGCGAUGCUGGGCAGCAAUGCCUGGGGAUUACUUUGAGGAAAUUAGGGUGUUCAAAGGAGGCGUGUGCUUGGAUACUGCAGCAUGGAAUAAUGGAAUAGGGCUUGCGCUUUAUUUUGUUGGUUUGGGGGUGCGAGUAAUGAUUAAUAGGGGCAGUUGGGGGCAUUGGUAUUUGGCAGCUAGAGGUGAAAUUCUUGGAUUUGCCAAAGACUAACUAGUGCGAAAGCAU